UGAUGCAGCGACGCCGCGUGAGGGAUGACGGCCUUCGGGUUGUAAACCUCUUUCAGCACCGACGAAGCGAGAGUGACGGUAGGUGCAGAAGAAGCGCCGGCCAACUACGUGCCAGCAGCCGCGGUAAGACGUAGGGCGCGAGCGUUGUCCGGAUUUAUUGGGCGUAAAGAGCUCGUAGGCGGUUUGUCGCGUCGUCUGUGAAAACCCACGGCUCAACUGUGGGCUUGCAGUCGAUACGGGCAGGCUAGAGUUCGGUAGGGGAGACUGGAAUUCCUGGUGUAGCGGUGAAAUGCGCAGAUAUCAGGAGGAACACCGGUGGCGAAGGCGGGUCUCUGGGCCGAUACUGACGCUGAGGAGCGAAAGCGUGGGGAGCGAACAGGAUUAGAUACCCUGGUAGUCCACGCUGUAAACGUUGGGCGCUAGGUGUGGGGGACCUCUCCGGUUCUCUGUGCCGCAGCUAACGCAUUAAGCGCCCCGCCUGGGGAGUACGGCCGCAAGGCUAAAACUCAAAGGAAUUGACGGGGGCCCGCACA
rnacentral:rRNA from 1 species